AAGUCGUAACAAGGUUUCCGUAGGUGAACCUGCGGAAGGAUCAUUAACACAUAUCCAAACGUUAAAACCCCCCCCCGUGAACCUUCAUCCUGCUCUUGUAACCCGCGUAGUUCGCAAUCUCUGAUAAAUCAUAGCCCGGAAAGUUGUAGUGAUUCAGAGACCUCUGGCUACGUGCGAACAUUGGAACAGUUACAAUCGAGCGCAAGGAUAGCGCUUCUACGAUUCCUGUAGACCGUACACUCGGGCAGGAGCUUUGCCAAAGGGUCCCCAUGCCCCCUAAUAACCCCACAGUUUAAUGUGAAGCUCAAUGUAAUACAUUGGGUAAAAAAACCGAACAACUGUUAACAAUGGAUAUCUUGGUUCUC
rnacentral:misc_RNA from 1 species